AACGAACGCUGGCGGCAUGCCUAACACAUGCAAGUCGAACGAGACCUUCGGGUCUAGUGGCGCACGGGUGCGUAACGCGUGGGAAUCUACCCUUGGGUUCGGAAUAACAGUUAGAAAUGACUGCUAAUACCGGAUGAUGACGUAAGUCCAAAGAUUUAUCGCCCAAGGAUGAGCCCGCGUAAGAUUAGCUUGUUGGUGGGGUAAUGGCCUACCAAGGCGAAGAUCUUUAGCUGGUCUGAGAGGAUGAUCAGCCACACUGGGACUGAGACACGGCCAAGACUCCUACGGGAGGCAGCAGUGGGGAAUAUUGGACAAUGGGCGAAAGCCUGAUCCAGCAAUGCCGCGUGAGUGAUGAAGGCCUUAGGGUUGUAAAGCUCUUUUACCAGGGAUGAUAAUGACAGUACCUGGAGAAUAAGCUCCGGCUAACUCCGUGCCAGCAGCCGCCGUAA
rnacentral:rRNA from 1 species